UCCAGACUGGGUGACAGAGUGAGACUCUAUCUCAGAAAAAAAAAAUGUCCUUUAUGAAACAAAAAGUUUACUUUUUGUUUAAAAUUUAAUUAAACCUUAGCAAUGAAUACAUCUUCUGUGUGAGAAAAUGGAAAGUACACACAAAACAUUUCUUUUGUAUACUGAAGUACAAUGGUAAUCUGGAAGAAAACCAUUGUGUGAUUAAGUUUUGGGUUGCCUUUUUUUUUUUUUUCAUACAACAACAUGUUUACCUGAUAGAAUGACUGAUUGUUGGACAAAUUAUUGUUAUUCAGACUUCGGUAUUUGUCAGACACUUUUUCACAAUUCAAUGUUGUGAGCCUGUAACUUAAACAACUGAUGAUAUUUGUUGCCAAUGACAUUUGAGAUUUCGAUUGAAAAUUAAAAUUUUAGAAAAACAAUUUUCAUCACCAUUAGUUUGACUGCUUCCAGUUCUUAAAGGCUUUUCUGAUGAGAUCUGAUAGAACAAACAAAAUUUCCUAAAAUAUUACAUAAUGAUAUGUCUCAAUAUUUGAAAGGUGAAAAAUGUAGUGGCUCAGUACUUUCCAAAUGACCAGUUAAUUAUGCUAUGAAGUCAUUCAUGGAACAAAGAUCUACUAAAGUGCAAGAUGAUCAAGGAAUUUUAACAAUUCAACCGAUGGAGCCACCCUGGUAGGGAAUGGAACAGUUGGAAGGAUACAGACCCCACUUAUCCUCAAACAUAUAAAGAAGCCUUGCCCCAAAGGGAGAAAUCAAUGAGAGAAGUGGAGUGAAAAAACAAACGUAGUUUUCCCAAUACUAUUUCCUCUUGAGAUUGGAGGUUUAGAACAAAAAUCAUGUCAUGGAAAUACAAGGAAGAAGAAUCAAAGUAUCCCUCCUGUCUAAGAACAAUUAUUCUGACACUUGUUAAAAACAGUAAGGAAGACUUCCUUCAAGGCUGCUGCAAUAAAGAGAGAGAUUGAGCUGGACUCUGAACAGAAGGAAAAGUGGGGUUUUAUAGCAAGGGAGUAGAGCUAAGUGGUCAGUAAAUCGAAAAUUACUACCAGAAGACAUAAAGAAUAGGGAGAUUCUUGCAAAACUGGCCUAACAGGAUUCUUGCUAAAGCAAACAAAGGACUUAGGUAUUAAGGGUGUGGGAAGAAAUUUAUCAGCUCUCAAUGGUAGGUGAUUCUUGCUAAGCUUAGUAAAAUUCUUGCUAAAACUGUUCUCGGCAAAGAUAAAGACAAAAGGCCAAUGUUGAGGUGUACUCAAGAACAAGGCUCACAGAAGCCUAAGGUUUGGUCAAGGAGAAUGUCUUUGUCACUCCCAUGAGAAUCUUAUUUUUGGUUGUCCAGCAUGCGAACACACUACAACCUGAAAGUUUAAUGAAAUUAUCAAAACUAUGAGAAGACAUGUUAAGAAAAUUGGCUAUGACUCAAAUAAGAUUUAUAUUUAGUUUGAGUUAAAAUGUGAGCAUUAAAUAAAAAUUUUAUAUUACUUACAAAUAAACAUAGCAAUAUUAUUUGAAAUUACUGUUUGAAACAGAAUUGAAUAUACUGUUUGAAACAGAAUUGUCCUCUGCCACCAACACAACCUGUUGAUAAGUGUCUAUAAUUACCUCUCAAGACUUACUUUAUUAGUGAUAUUGUAUGACAAUUAAGAUCUUAAAACAGGCAUAAAACUGACUAUGAUCAGUGUUACCAUUGGAAAAAUAAUAUAUGUUAAGAUGUGCCAUAAACCAUUAAGCCCUUUCUGUUGACAAUGAAAUUUCAAAGUUAAAAACUGAUCUAUCAAAGAUUUCUGCCCUGACACUGUGCAUUUAGAAAAUAAGGACUUAGGGUGAGAAGCUGCUGACUUUUCUACUCACAUCAUCAUCCUACAUAAUCCAUGCCAUAUCAAUAGGGAUAUCGUCAUCCUGCUGAUAUUUCUUACAACUUUGACCAUUGUCAAGGCUAAAAAUGUUUUUUUUUUCUUUUAACAUUUCUGAAAUUGUCUGUUGUUAGUGGAGUAUAAUAUAACAGGACCCCAUAGCAGGGUCCCAGACAAGGCCAAUGACAUUCAAGACUUUCUGAGUAGUUUUUUUUGUCAUUUAUUUUGGUUUACUGCUGCUUUUUUGUUGUUGUUGUUGUUGUGAGAUAGAUCUUUGCUUUUCCUGCUGCCAAGGCAGAUGACAGAAUAUUGCUGGAGUUGAUAACAUUACAGUCUGUCCAAAACUGCCAUUGAAUACUCCUCACAACACCUUUAUCCUCAGACUCUUAUCAGCUACGGCAGAAUGAAUCCAAAAUGUGAAUUUAAAUUCAGCAGUUGAAGACUGCUAAACUAUUACAGUAUAUUUUACAUUUUUCAAAGAGGAGAAUGCUUUGUGAGUCAUUUGUUUCAUAGCAGUUAUAAGUUGCUAGCAUUCAAACUAGCUUAGUUCAUGCUAGAUGAAGUCUUUGCAUGCAACAGGAAAAUUACUUUUCAAAUAAUUUUUAAAAGAUUAAGCCAAAGUUCUAAACAUGAAUAAGGCACUUGAAAAAGAAAGAAUAAAGAGAAAGAAAAAGAAAUAAAAAAGAAGAAGAAAGAGAAGAAGAAGGGGGAUAAGGAACAAAGAAUGAGGAGGAAGAGGAAGAUGAGGAACAAGUGGGAGGAAAAGGAGAAGGAGGAAAAAAAAGAGAGAACAGAGGGAUAGAAGAAUCCAGGUUUUCUCACACACAAAAAAAUGCACUUUAUCACUUGGAUAUGUACAUUAAUGGAUCCUGUGCCAGAAUGUAUUUGUUCAUGAUUAUCCUUUGUUGUAUAUAUUUGGAAAGAUAAAUUCAUCAGUGUUGUUAGUCUUACCUCUUUCGCAUCCUAUUUAGUGUUCUCUCCCUUGCAACUUAUCCCUCCCUCCCUCCUUCCCAACUCCCCACCUCUUUCUCUCCCUCUCAUUACUAAUUUCAUUAAAUAAGCUGGCU
rnacentral:lncRNA from 1 species